GGCUGGGGACCCCAGAGCCCUGAUGCGUAUCUGAGUUUGAGUAGAACCUCAGCAGAUACCGGGGAGGGCACCAUGGCCUCUGCUGGAACCAGUAUGUUUGGUAGCUGCCCACACUGAACCCAGUGCUGAAGGUGCAGGCCUGGAGCACUGUGUGACCUUUCAGACUGCUGUCCCACAAUGAACAGUAAUAAUCUGCCUCAUCCUCAGCCUGGAGCCCAGUGAUGGUCAGGGUGGCUGAGCUGCCAGAACUGGAGCCAGAAAAUCGAUCCGGGAUCCCCCAUGCAUGUCCAGAGAGAGCAAGUGCUCCUUCCACCACCCAUGAGCAGAGCAUGGAAUUUCUCUUACCCAAGGCCACCUGGACCCAGAGGAUUCUGUUAAAGUUCCCACAGAUAUCGACCGAGCCUGGUGGGAAGUGAGAAUUACACUCCGGGUAUGAGAGCAGGAAGCAGAUGAUGAAAGAAUUUCAUGCUGGUGCAAUUUCUUCUACUUGUCCUCCUUAGAGGAAGACCCUGGACACUAGAAGUGACAACAAGAACACUGUAAUUUUCUUUGAAAUCCCAAUGUGGAGACUGUUCAGACCUGAAGAGCCAGAGAAAGACUGAAGACCUGGGGGAGGUGGAAACAGAGAAGAACAGGGUGAUUGUGGAGGGCGGAUGAUGUCAGUGUGUGUGAAGAAGUUGUGACUAUUUGUAGCUGGUUCAGAGAAAGAGAAAAUUGUGUCUGUGACCAGGGAGGUGUUAACAUAUGGACUCUAAACAUACAAUUUUAGACCAGGACUGUGACAGCAGAACACUCAAUGUGAGUAUAAAGGUGAAGUAACAGAAGGGAGAGACUGAGGUUAAUUGCUUCUAAAGUGUUUAUUCCUUUUCAUUUAUCCCAGAGCCUAGGGCAUGUGCAGUUGGGCUCUAUCUCCUCACUUGGGUGUGUUCUUGGGAAACCUGUGCUGGCUCAGGCAACAGCAUUGUCUUUGUGUCACUCCUCCCUCCUCAAGGACAGGUCUCCCUACAGGGGACUAUCUCCCCUACAGGAGCCUGCACAGAAGCUUCUCAAUACAAGAGGCUCAGAGACAAGGUCUCUGGUUCCAGGUCUCACUUCCCUGUGAUCUGAGACAUUGUGAGGAAUGGUAGCUGCUCCCAAUGCCAUGACCUGUAGCUCAGAAAUAGUCAGCCUUGUCCUCAGCCUGCAACUGCCAGUUGAGCAGAAGCCCUGCAUUGGCCGAGGCAUCUUUGGAGCCACAGAAGCAGCUGGAGACCCCGGAGCCCUGGUGCAUAUCUGAGUCUGAGUAGAACCUCAGCAGAUACCAGGGAGGGCUCCCUGGCUUCUGCUGGAACCAGUAUGUUUGGUAGCUGCCCACACUGAACCCAGUGCUGAAGGUUCAGGUGAGUCUGGCAGAUGAUCCCAGAGGUGCAGAGAGGGAGGGCGGCUGGGUCAGCACAGGCUGGGACACGGACCUGGAAACACAGACGCUCAUGGGUGAUGGACAGGUGUCUGAGUAACACUUUCAAUAUCUGAGCCCGAGGGACUGAUGGAGCCUGAGAACGAGGACCCACUACCCAAGUCCUGGUCCUACAUUUACCUUGAUAGAGGAGCAUAAGGGCAGGAGUUCUGGCCUCUUGACCCAGCCCCUACUCCACACAAAUGGCCGGGCUGCCCCCGGCCUGCUUUUCUCCUCCACCCUCUGCCACUGGACGGACUGUCUCUGCAAAUGGGCUCCACCCAGUGACUUCCCAGCCUCUCCCUGAGCCCUGGUGCUGGAGCUCAGCUCACACCACACACUGAGGAGGAUGAGGGUUGGCUUCAGCCCUGGGGAUAGCCCUGGGAGGAAACACCUGCUGAGACCACACAGGACCCUGCUCAGCGGACUCUACCAGG